AACGAACGUUGGCGGCAUGCCUAACACAUGCAAGUCGAACGAAGGCUUCGGCCUUAGUGGCGCACGGGUGCGUAACGCGUGGGAAUCUGCCCUUUGGUUCGGAAUAACAGCUGGAAACGGCUGCUAAUACCGGAUGAUGACGAAAGUCCAAAGAUUUAUCGCCAGAGGAUGAGCCCGCGUUGGAUUAGGUAGUUGGUGGGGUAAAGGCCUACCAAGCCGACGAUCCAUAGCUGGUCUGAGAGGAUGAUCAGCCACACUGGGACUGAGACACGGCCCAGACUCCUACGGGAGGCAGCAGUGGGGAAUAUUGGACAAUGGGCGCAAGCCUGAUCCAGCAAUGCCGCGUGAGUGAUGAAGGCCCUAGGGUUGUAAAGCUCUUUUACCCGGGAAGAUAAUGACUGUACCGGGAGAAUAAGCCCCGGCUAACUCCGUG
rnacentral:rRNA from 1 species